GUCAGUGGUGAAAGCCCAUCGCUCAACGGUGGAACGGCCAUUGAUACUGCUAAACUUGAAUUAUUAGGAAGUAACUAGAAUAUGUAGUGUAGCGGUGAAAUGCUUAGAGAUUACAUGGAAUACCAAUUGCGAAGGCAGGUUACUACUAAUGGAUUGACGCUGAUGGACGAAAGCGUGGGUAGCGAACAGGGAUUAGAAUACCACUGGCUAGUCCACGCCGUAAACGAUGGAUACUAGCUGUUGGAAGCAAUUUCAGUGGCUAAGCGAAAGUGAUAAGUAUCCCACCUGGGGAGUACGUUCGCAAGAAUGAAACUCAAAGGAAUUGACGGGGGCCCGCACAAGCGGUGGAGCAUGUGGUUUAAUUCGAUGAUACGCGGAGGAACCUUACCAAGGCUUAAAUGUAGAUUGACCGGUUUGGAAACAGACUUUUCGCAAGACAAUUUACAAGGUGCUGCAUGGUUGUCGUCAGCUCGUGCCGUGAGGUGUCAGGUUAAGUCCUAUAACGAGCGCAACCCCUGUUGUUAGUUGCCAGCGAGUCAUGUCGGGAACUCUAACGAGACUGCCAGUGCAAACUGAGAGGAAGGUGGGGAUGACGUCAAAUCAUCACGGCCCUUACGCCUUGGGCUACACACGUGCUACAAUGGCCGGUACAGAGAGCAGCCACUGGGUGACCAGGAGCGAAUCUAUAAAACCGGUCACAGUUCGGAUCGGAGUCUGCAACUCGACU
rnacentral:rRNA from 1 species